CAUUAAUUGUGCCAAGAAAUACAGAGAGACCCAUAACAAAACUCAGGAUGCAAGUAAAGUUUUGAGUUUUGUUGCUUAAUUUCAUCUUUCCCCACAUAAAUUAUACUGCAGUACAUAUUCCUAACCCUCUAAAAUAACACUAAUUUUCUGAAGUAUUUGCUUCCUUAUGUAUUAGCCACACGUUCUAUUUUUAUCUCAGUGGUGAAUCCAAGAAGUCAAAUUACCCAUUACUAAUGGUCAUGUGGCUGCAAUGGCUGAGAGUCCAGAAAAUGCAGAGAAAUGUCUGAAAAUGUCUUUGGGAAAGUACAAGAAAAGCAGAAGUGUGUGCACUCUGCAGUAAAUGAUUAGAUGAAGUAAUCUAGAUACAUAUUUUUUUUGAAAGCUCUUUAAAGAGAAACAUUAAUGACGAUUCUCUUUAUGGAUUUUCAUUCUGGCACUGCUUAUUCAUCUAACUUGAAACUACAUUACACAGUCACAUUACUCAGACUCCAACAGUGAUACAUACAAGAGCAAAUGCACACCAGCUUGUGUUGCGGCCAUGAAAAAGGAUCUUCUUUGGUUGAUUCUCUUUUGAAAGCAGAUUUGUUUUAAGACCACUGAAAUGUAUAAGCUAUGAAGAGGAGAAGAAGCGAUAUCUCCACUGGACUUCUUACUUUCGACAUCUGGCUGUGGUCCACUGGGAGAAAUUUGCUCAUCUACUUCAGAUGCAAGUCACAAAACCAUUUCUGAUGUGUUUACAAACUAGUCUGGAAAAGCCUCAUCAAACCAAAAUAAAGAGGUGGAUGUUUUUUUGUUGGUUGGUUGUUUUUUCUUCUCCUUUUUCAAUAAAAGAAGAGGCAUUCUGAAUUCUUCCUCCAAGAUCAUCAGUCAUUUUCUGAACUGCUUGGUUAGAAGUAAAGGACGCUCAGAUGAAAAAUAAUGGUCAAUACUUUAUUUUGAAUGUUGUUCAGGAGGAAGCAAAUACCUUGGCAUACUGCGCAUUUAUUUUCAAGUGUACCUUGAUACUCGGUUCAAACAUAGAUUCUCAGUAUAAAUUCUGUGUUAAUUAAUCUCAAUUUUGUAAUGAAAAUAGUGCUUUUUAUAAAUAAUGCUUUUUAUUUCAUCUUUACCUACCCCCUACAUAUACAUUUAAAAACAGUCUUAGUAGGAAGUUUGUACUCUAGAUUUAUCUAGUGCCUGUGAUCUAUUCUUACCUCUUUAUGCAAAAAAACCCAGUCUUUCCACUUCCACAUCUGAUUUAAGAAUAUAUUUAAGUUUUGAAAAAUCAAGAGAAAAAGCAUAUGACAAUAUAUCAAUAAGCCAAUUCCUAGCACAAGACAUCCACAAUAUAAAAUACUUUACUUAAUCUUUCAAUAACACAUAUUCUACACAUACUACCUUUCAGCAAAUUUCAGUUUUCAGUAAGUUACAAUUUCCAUAAAAAGAACAGGUAGUUGAACUGGACUAACACAGUUUUGUUUGAUGAAGUCAAAGUCUGGAGUCAGAUAUCUGAGAACUAAUGUAUAUCUUUAAAUGAAAUCCAUUUCUUCAAGUUCACCAUGAUGUAUUCUUAGAUAAGAGCUAUGCUUAUAACUGAAGAAUGCCAUCAAUUCUUUGAUAUAAUUUUAAUCUUCUGUGAAUAAAUGAAUGAGGUAGUAAACUGCAGCAUAAGGAAAAUCUAUUUUAAACUGCAUUAUAUUAAAUCUGAUGGCACAUUGUGUGAGAAAUAUAAGCAGUAUUCAGUCACUGAGAAUUUCUUUCCAUCAUUGGAAUGAUUGCAACCCUUUUGGAAUUAACAACUACGACUGGGAGCCUUUACCUAGGAUGCAGAGUAACUUCUAAUAGCUGGAAAACAUUUCCUUCCAGCUGCAGGCUACAGAGAUAAUCAUCCUUUGAGAUCAAAUUAUGUGAAGGUCAAAUAACGACUAGAGUAAUUAUGCAGCUCAAGAAUUAUGUGGGUUGUUG
ensembl:lncRNA